GACGAACGCUGGCGGCAUGCCUUACACAUGCAAGUCGAACGGUAACAGGUCUUCGGAUGCUGACGAGUGGCGAACGGGUGAGUAAUACAUCGGAACGUGCCCGAUCGUGGGGGAUAACGAAGCGAAAGCUUUGCUAAUACCGCAUACGAUCUACGGAUGAAAGCAGGGGACCGCAAGGCCUUGUGCGAACGGAGCGGCCGAUGGCAGAUUAGGUAGUUGGUGGGAUAAAAGCUUACCAAGCCGACGAUCUGUAGCUGGUCUGAGAGGACGACCAGCCACACUGGGACUGAGACACGGCCCAGACUCCUACGGGAGGCAGCAGUGGGGAAUUUUGGACAAUGGGCGAAAGCCUGAUCCAGCCAUGCCGCGUGCAGGAUGAAGGCCUUCGGGUUGUAAACUGCUUUUGUACGGAACGAAAAGACUCUGGUUAAUACCUGGGGUCCAUGACGGUACCGUAAGAAUAAGCACCGGCUAACUACGUGCCAGCAGCCGCAGUAAAAC
rnacentral:rRNA from 1 species